rnacentral:rRNA from 1 species
AUUGAACGCUGGCGGCAGGCCUAACACAUGCAAGUCGAACUAUUGGCGGACGGGUGAGUAAUGUCUGGGAAACCGCCUGCUGGAGGGGGUUAUCUACCGGCAACGGUAGCUAAUACCGCAUACCAUCAUCUGUGCCCAGUUGGGCUUAGCUUGUUGGUGGGGUAACGGCUCACCAAGGCGACGAUCCCUACCUGGUCUGAGAGUAUGACCAGCCACACUGGGACUGAGACCCGGUCCAGGCUCCUACGGGAGGCCGCAGUGGUGAAGAUUGCACGAUGGGCGGCAGCCUGAUGCAGCGCUGGGGCGUGUAUGAAGGAGGCCUUCGGGUUGUAAAGUACUUUCAGCGGGUGGGCGUUACCCGCAGAGGUAGCGCCGGCUGACUCCGUGCCAGCAGCCGCGGUAAUAC